GCAGGCCAACGGGGCGCACGCGCGCCGCCGCCUUCGCUUUGCGCGCCCCCGAGGCCGGCCCGGGCGCCGCGGCGCUGCGGCUGCGGGCGGCAACGCUGCACCAUGGCCCGGCCGCUGCGGGCCGCCCGACUGCCGCCGCCGCUGCUGUUGCUGCUGGCCGCCGGUGAGUGGGGCCGGGCCAAGCCGCGAGGGCGCAGCGCGCCACGGGCCAGUGCUGGCAGCGCCGCAGAACAAAGGCUGUGGGGCGCGCGGGGUCGGCCGCGCGCGGGGAGGAGGCGGCGGCGCGGGGCCUGGCGCGGGGACCCCCCAGGCGCCCUGUCCUGGGCGCUGGAUGCUCCGUGCCACGCGCGCGCUCGAGGACGGCGGCGGCGGGGCCGCUGCACCAGGGUGUCCGCGCCCCACCCCUCGCCAGGAGCUUCCCUGGGUGCCUAUGCAGUGGGCGUGGAUGAGCCUGGCCCCGAGGGCCUCACCUCCACGUCCCUGCUGGACCUCUUGUUGCCCACUGACUUUGAGCCACUGGACUCAGAGGAACCCAGCGAGGCCAUGGGUCUAGACGCCGGCCUAGCCCCAGGCUCGGGCUUCCCCAGUGAGGACAGCGAGGAGUCCCGGCUCCUGCAGCCGCCACAGUACUUCUGGGAAGAAGAGGAACUAAACGGCUCCAGCCUGGACCUGGGUCCCACUGCAGACUACGUCUUCCCAGACCUGACUGAGAAGGUGGCGUCCAUGGAAGACCCAGGCCAGGCUCCGGACCUGCCAAACCUCCCCUCCAUCCUGCCCAAGAUGGAUCUUGCUGAGCCUCCCUGGCAUAUGCCUCUGCAGGAGGAGGAAGAGGAGGAGGAAGAGGAGGAGGAGGAAAGGGAAGAAGAGGAGAGGGAGAAGGAAGCAGAGGAGGAGGAGGAAGAGGAAGAGCUGCUCCCUGUGAGCGGGUCCCCAGGAGCCACCGCACAGGCCCAUGCCCCUUCACCUAGCACCAGCAGCAGCACCAGCAGCCAGAGUCCUGGGGCCACCCGGCACAGGCAGGAGGAUUCUGGAGACCAGGCCACAUCAGGCAUGGAAGUGGAGAGCAGUGUGAAACCCACCUUGUCAGUGCCCUCAGUCACCCCAAGUACAGUGGCCCCGGGGGUUCAGAACUAUAGCCAGGAGUCUGGGGGCACUGAGUGGCCAACUGGGGGGCUGGGGGUCCAGUCUGAGGUUCCCCAGGGAGCUGGUGAGGGGGCCACAGUGGGAGCAGCUGACUUCGAUGGCCAGCAGGGGGCACUGCCGUCCUCUUCACUCCCACAAACAGUGCCUCCAAGUGGGACUGAGGUCCCCAGUGAGGGUCCCCUUUACCCCAGAAUCCCAGACUCUCUCCCACCUGGACCCCAAGACACAGAGUCAACCCCUUCCUCUGCUACCUGGGGACAAGAAGGUCUCAGUGAGCAGCCCCUGGAGGGUCAGGCAGCUGAAGCUCACUCACUAACACCGUGGGACUCUACUCAGGUGAUCUGCAAGGAUUGGAGCAACCUGGCCGGGAAGAGCUACAUCAUCCUGAACAUGACAGAGAACAUAGACUGUGAAGUAUUUCGGCGGCACCGGGGACUACGGCUCCUAGCUCUGGUGGAGGAGGUACUGCCACGCCACCGCAGUGGCCAUCGUGGAGACUGGCAUAUUUCUCUGAGCAAGCCCAGUGAGAAAGAGCAACACCUGCUGAUGACCCUUGUAGGAGAACAGGGCGUGGUACCCACUCAAGAUGUCCUUUCCAUGCUCAGUGGCAUCCGCAGGAGUCUGGAGGAGGUUCUUCGUGAUCUCCAAAUCUGGGCUCAGGAACACAGAUGGACAGAGGGCACCUGCAAGGGUUCCACACAAUGCAGGGAGGAGCUGGAGCCCAGCCCCUGCUCCAGAGCUCACUGAUGGCACUCACCUUCCUCGGCUCCCUCCCUUCACCUGAGGCUGGACUGUAGGGAGCUUUCCCAUUGGGAGGGAGUCCAAGCCAGCCAGAGCAGCCUGCAGUAGGGAGGCACAUGCCGCCUGUGAUCUUACCACUGGGAAAGGGAAGAAGCUAGAGACCCCAGCUGUGGGCUGCAGUUGGCAUCCCCACAGAGGUUCCAGGGAUGCGGGGCCUAGCAUGGAUGGCUAGGGUGACAUUACCUUAUGCCUAAAGAUGAAGCUUGCUUCAGGCCUCUGCCUUUGGUGAACUCAAGUCUCCCAGAUGCCAUGUUGCUUUGUGAAACUGAUGGGGACAGGGGUGGGGCCCCAUCUAUUUGGGCCGUGACUGUCAUCACGUCUCAGUGAUGUGCAGGGCCAGAAUUGGUGCAUUCAAAGUUGUGUUGGUGUAGAAACACAGUGAGGAAGUGAAGGAGCCAAGAAUGUGGACCCUGGGAGAGGCUUGGAAGUGUUCUUGGAUGAACCAGUAGGGACAGAAUGAUUGGCAUCCAGAACUACUCCACCACCAGCAGCUGCCAGGCACGAGCCACCCAGGUGCGCAGUGACUACGGGACGCUCUUUGUAGUGCUGGUGAUCAUUGGUGUCAUCUGCUUCAUCAUCAUUGUGCUUGGCCUACUCUACAAUUGUUGGCAGCGCCGGAUGCCCAAGCUCAAACACGUGCGCUCUCUCCUGCUGCUGCAGUCGCACGGUGAGGAGCUGCGCUUCGUGGAGAACGGCUGCCACGACAAUCCCACGCUGGACGUGGCCAGCGACAGCCAGUCGGAGAUGCAGGAGAAGCAGCCCAGCCUGAACGGUGGGGCCAUCAACGGCCCGAGCAGCUGGAGCGCGCUCAUGGGCAGCAAACGCGACCCUGAGGACUCGGACGUGUUCGAGGAGGACACUCACCUGUGAGCGCCGGGCCACGGGCGCGAGACUGCCCGACGCCACGGCCCCGCGCCCCUCCCGGUCCUCCACGCGGACCACUAUGCUUCCCCACCGCAGCAGGCGACCGCGGCGCAGCUCCCACCCCGCCCUGCCCGGCCCCGAGCGCUUGCCCGAGGCCAGCGCGCUCCCCGCGCCAGGACUCCAUUAAAGCCGCUAAGACGCGCGGGCCGCUCCGCC